UGACUGCUCCCUUCGUCAAGAAUUACUUGUUGCAUAUAUGGAUAAAAAUGAAUGUAUCUAGAACUAAAAUACAUCUAGGUACAUCUAUUUCUCUGAUAAGUAUUUCUAGGUGGAGGGAGUAUUAA
rfam:Triticum urartu cultivar G1812 contig89104, whole genome shotgun sequence.